CAGCUAUGUAGAUAAAAGAAAGCUUCGUAGUUCCGAUCAUAAUUACAGUCAAAGAAUGAAAACAAAGUACAGUAAGAGCAGAUAUACUAAUAAAGAAGUAAUAAUAGGAAAAAUAAAUGGAAAUACAUAAAUUUUAAAUUAUAAUGAGGAUAAGCAGAGACAAUAAACAGCUGCGCCAUGAGCGCAUGAUACGCCCAAUCCCUUGUGAAGAAGUUUUAUGCAAUAAGCAUAAAAAGUUUCUGAGAAAUUUUUAAGCAAUAACCAUUUAUUGUUUUUGAGACACGACGGG
rnacentral:lncRNA from 1 species